GCGGAGUAGCGGAUGGCGUUGGUCACCAGCUCGCUGAUGAUCAGCUCGGUGGUGAAGGUCUCGUCGCCGAGGUGCCAUUCCUCCAGUUUGCG
rnacentral:tRNA from 1 species